CGUAAAGGGAGCGUAGGUGGCUCGAUAAGUCAGAUGUGAAAUCCCCGGGCUCAACCUGGGAACUGCAUCUGAUACUGUUGAGCUAGAGUAUGUGAGAGGAAGGUAGAAUUCCAGGUGUAGCGGUGAAAUGCGUAGAGAUCUGGAGGAAUACCGAUGGCGAAGGCAGCCUUCUGGCAUAAUACUGACACUGAGGCUCGAAAGCGUGGGUAGCAAACAGGAUUAGAUACCCUGGUAGUCCACGCCGUAAACGAUGUCUACUAGUCGUUGGGUCCCUUGAGGACUUAGUGACGCAGCUAACGCAAUAAGUAGACCGCCUGGGGAGUACGGCCGCAAGGUUAAAACUCAAAUGAAUUGACGGGGGCCCGCACAAGCGGUGGAGCAUGUGGUUUAAUUCGAUGCAACGCGAAGAACCUUACCUGGUCUUGACAUAUCUAGAAUCCUGCAGAGAUGCGGGAGUGCCUUCGGGAAUUAGAAUACAGGUGCUGCAUGGCUGUCGUCAGCUCGUGUCGUGAGAUGUUGGGUUAAGUCCCGCAACGAGCGCAACCCUUGUCCUUAGUUACCAGCGGGUUAAGCCGGGAACUCUAAGGAUACUGCCAGUGACAAACUGGAGGAAGGCGGGGACGACGUCAAGUCAUCAUGGCCCUUACGACCAGGGCUACACACGUGCUACAAUGGUAGGUACAGAGGGCAGCUACACAGCGAUGUGAUGCGAAUCUCAAAAAGCCUAUCGUAGUCCAGAUUGGAGUCUGUAACUCGACUCCAUGAAGUAGGAAUC
rnacentral:rRNA from 1 species